rnacentral:rRNA from 1 species
UACGGAGGGGGCUAGCGUUGCUCGGAAUGACUGGGCGUAAAGGGCGCGUAGGCGGUUUGGACAGUCAGAUGUGAAAUUCCUGGGCUCAACCUGGGGGCUGCAUUUGAUACGUUCGGACUAGAGUGGGGAAGAGGGGCGUGGAAUUCCCAGUGUAGAGGUGAAAUUCGUAGAUAUUGGGAAGAACACCGGUGGCGAAGGCGGCGACCUGGUCCUUGACUGACGCUGAGGCGCGAAAGCGUGGGGAGCAAACAGG